rnacentral:lncRNA from 1 species
AUGAUUCACCUCAUCCCCUCAUAUAGGCAGAGGCUGAAGCUCUCCAAACCUGCAGUGAGGACUUCUAAGAAGUGGACCUGCGAGGCUGUGGAGGAGCUUCGCAUGUGUCUGGACACAACAGACUGGAACAUGUUUGGAUCUGCCACAGACAACUUGGAUGAAUAUACAGACACUGUGACGUCAUACAUAAAAUUCUGUGAGGACAGCAUUAUUCCAACAAAAACCAGGGUCACUUUUAACAACGAUAAGCCCUGGUUCACACCCAAACUGAGACAGCUGAGGAGGGAGAAAGAAGCAGCCCACAGAGCCAAGGACAGAGAAAGCUACAAGGGCGCUAAGUACCAGUUCUCAAAAGAGUUGAAAAAGGCGAGAUCCCGGUACAAUAUGCGUCUAAAGGAGCAGUUCUCUGACAAUGACACCGCCUCUGUCUGGAGAGGGCUCAGGCAAAUCACUAACUACAAGCCUAGAGCCCAACAUGCUGCUGACGAUCUACAACUGGCUGAACAACUUAACUCCUUUUAUGCAAGGUUUGAAAUGCAACACCCAUCCCCCACACCCCCUACUGCACAGGUUUCUUCAGCCACUCUGGUGUCACAUGCCUCCCCCACCACCUUCACCACUGUGAAUAGUACAGUCCCCGCUGACCACCCCUCCCCCUCCACUGCCUUCUCAGUGACAGAAGAGGAUGUGCUUAGGGUUUUCCGUAAGCAAAACCCACGGAAAUCCCCGGGCCCGGACGGUGUCUCCCCCGCUACCCUGAGACACUGCGCAGAGGUAUUGUGUCCAAUCUUCACGGACAUCUUUAACAUCUCCUUGGAGUCCUGCCAUGUUCCAGCCUGCUUUAAGCUGUCCACCAUUGUCCCUGUCCCUAAGAAACCCCGUAUCACUGGACUGAAUGAUUACAGGCCUGUGGCGCUGACGUCUGUAGUCAUGAAGUCUUUUGAGCGCCUGGUCCUCCCUCAUCUCAAGUCCUUCACCUCCCCCCUCCUGGACCCUCUGCAGUUCGCAUACAGAGCCAAUAGGUCUGUAGACGACGCCAUCAACCUGGCCCUCCACUUCAUCCUGCAGCACCUGGACUCCCCGGGAACCUACGCUAGGAUCCUGUUUGUGGACUUCAGCUCUGCGUUCAACACCAUCCUCCCUGCUCUGCUCCAGGACAAGCUCUCCAUGCUCAACGUACCCAACUCCACCUGCAGGUGGAUCACUGACUUCCUGACGGACCGUAGGCAGUGCGUGCGGCUGGGGAAGAAUGUUUCCACCACUAAGACAAUUAGCACAGGAUCUCCACAGGGCUGUGUACUUUCUCCUCUGCUCUUCUCCCUGUACACAAACUGCUGCACCUCGAGCCAUGACUCCGUUAAACUGAUCAAGUUUGCGGACGACACCACCCUCAUCGGGCUCAUCUCUGACGGUGAUGAGUCCGCCUACAGGAGGGAGGUGGAACGGCUGGUGUACUGGUGCAGCAGCAACAACCUGGAGCUCAAUGCUCAGAAGACAGUGGAGAUGAUUGUGGACUUCAGGAAAGUCACAGCCCCAUCUCUCCCCCUCGUCCUGUCGGACACCCCCGUCACCACUGUGGACUCCUUCCGCUUCCUCGGAACCACCAUCACACAUGACCUUAGGUGGGAGCCAUCCAUCAGCUCCCUGAUCAAAAGGCCCAGCAGAGGAUGUACUUCUUAG